rnacentral:tRNA from 1 species
UACCCCGAAAAGGUUGGAUACACCCAACCUUUGCUA